CACGCAGCCAUGUGGUAAGCACAAAGCGAACUAUUCUUUCGCCUUUUACUAAAGAAUACCGUGUGCUCUCCACGCUAAGUGGCAUACGCCUAUUUUUGGAGGGCUCUCACUUUACAGUGGGACCCAACAUCUACCCUAGUGUAAACUUUUUAUGUGUGGCUAACGGUCUAUCAAUGGGCUCAAGGCACCAAAGCUCAUAAAAUGUGGCUAUAUAUGUUUGGCAAUAUCUUCUUAAUUUCUUAAAUGUGGCUAUGUUUCUCUCUCCAAUAUUUUGAGAAUUAC